UUAAUAUUGUGCAUUCAGUUAUAAAAGUGCGCUCGCGACUUAGAAACUCCAAUUGAACGUAGGAAGUGACGAGCGAUUUCUCGAAAUUAAAUUAGACAAAUGUCGAAUGCAAAAUAUGUACUACUGAGCAAACAUGAUUUUAGUGAAAUUGCAUAUGAAAAUCAAAGUCAAAAUGUGUUUGAAAAAAUCUUAGCAUUUCUAAAGCAAAAACAAUUUGCAAGAAUUUUAGCAUUUUGUGCGUUAAUUACAACACUACAACUGCUGCAUAUGCGAUUCUACUACUAUGAAACAAAUCCCGUGUAUGAGACCACAAUCCAAAUUGAAGUGUGGGAAAAUAAUGUAACGACUACAGAAUCUGUUCCAAAUGUGACAAAACAUAAUGAGACUCGAUCACAAUACGAGUACUUCAUACACACGUCACAAUGUCGCAUACCGUAUGUGGAACCUUUCGCGGAAAAUGUUCUAAAAAUUUUUAAUCCACUAAAAUACAAAUACACAAAUUGUACUAAGGAUGAAGCUUUCAUUACAAGCAUUUACCAACUAAAUGCACGACAAUACUUUCUACACAUGAAUAUGGAGAACAUAGAGCGCGCCGUUAAGCCGUUAAAUGCCACCGCUACGGAUGUGCGCUGUUGUUAUCGGCAAAUCGUCAGAGCUGGAAGUGGAGGAUCAGCUGAUUCUAAGUAUAACCUCUUAAACUGUGUUAUAUUUCAUCAGGACUUCUUGGUACCGCAACAUAUAGACUAUAUAAUUACGGAGUGCUACCUAGGCAACAAUAAUAAAAAUCCACUACAGAAAGACGCUUUUUCAUUUAUACAAGUAACAAAGAAAACAAAUAGCACAGACAACGCCACCGAAUCCAAAGUUUCGGGUAUAAGGAAGCCAAGCGUUUUGCUGAUAGGUAUAGACGCAGUUUCGCGUAUCAAUCUUCGACGCACAAUGCCACAGACGUUUAAAUAUCUGCAAAUGAAUCAAUGGCUCGAACUGCUGGGCUACAACAAAAUUGGUGAUAAUACCUUCCCCAACUUAAUGGCCUUUCUGACCUCAUACAAUUUAACGAUGGCUGAGGCGAAAUGCAUGCCCAAAAUUGUAGGGGGACUUAACAAUCCACUUUGUAACUUUAUUUGGAAUGAUUUUAAGCGAUUUGGUUAUAAAACCGCCUAUGCAGAGGACACAAGUUCAUUAAGCACUUUCAAUUAUAGAAAAAAGGGAUUUGAGCGGCCACCGACCGAUUAUUAUCUACGCCCCUUAACAAUGGCCAUAGAAAAAGUAUUGAAAGUGACCAAAAAAGCUGGACUGUCUUAUUGUGUUGGCCGCAAACACUAUGGCGAAUACAUCUAUGAUUAUGCUUUACAAUUUGCGAAUGCUUAUCCAGAAGAACCGCUCUUCGGACUAUUCUGGACAAAUUCAUUUAGCCAUAAUGCCUUUGAUAUCGAAGCAACCAUGGACGUGAAGGUGUUGGAGUAUCUGAAAAAAUUGAAAACAGAUGGCAUACUAGAGCGUUCAAUUGUGAUUUUUCUUGCUGAUCAUGGCAUUCGUUGGGGUCCAUUACUGAAAUUAAAAUCGGGUUUCUUAGAAGAACGUUUGCCAAUGUUUUUCAUAUCACUACCACCGUGGUAUCAGAAACAACAUCCCGAUUUUGUAAAAGUUCUACAAACUAAUCAGAAACGUUUAACGACACCAUAUGAUAUUUAUGCGACCAUGAAACAUAUACUUGAAGUGGCGCAGCCAGAAAUGGAAUUUCCUGAAGUGAAUGGAACAAUGCGUGGUAUUAGUAUUUUCCGUGAAAUACCAGAGAAUCGCACCUGUAAUGAUGCCGGCAUUCCCGAGCAUUGGUGUACCUGUGUACCAUAUGAAAUUGUACCCACAAAGGAUGAAGUCGCGAAGACUGUAACUUUAUUGGUAAUAAAGGACAUCAAUCAAUAUCUGGUUAAUAAAAAUAUUAGCGACAAAUGUGCCGAAUUAAAAUUAGGAACAAUCGACAGUGCUGAAAUGAAAAUGAUCAAAAUACCGAAUGAGUCCACAUACCGUAUAAGUUUCGAAGCGAAUCCGGAAAAAGCGAGAUUUCAGGCUACGGUCGUUUAUAAUAUAAUAACAAAUACAAUCAAAACAGACGUGGAAGAUAUCUCGCGCCUGGAUUCGUAUGCAAAAACUUCCAACUGCAUUGAUUUGAAAGAGGAAAAGAAAUAUUGCAUUUGUAACAAAUAAUGCUACGAAUACGAUUUGAGGAAAGCUUCGAAUAGUUUCAACCUCCCAAGAGGUAAAAGUGGAUGCGAAAUUUAUAAUUGUAAAUAGUAAUUUUAAAACCUUAUUAACUAAGUACUUAGUUUUAUUAUAUUUUUCAUUUAUAUUUAUUAUGGAGAAAUACAUAUUUUGUAAUACUGUUA